AUGUUGGCCAAUGUUGAAGUUACUGUCAGUGUAGUUGUGGUUAUAUCACUUGAAGUUAAAGUCGAUGUUAUUGAGGAAGAGGUGGCAUCACUUGAAGUGACUGGCGAUUUUCUUGAGGGAGUGGUGGCAUCACUUGAAGUGAAUGUUGAAGGAACAGUUUUAUUGCUUGAAGUGACUGCUGAUGUUGAUGUAGUAGUAGUGGCAUCACUUGAAGUGACUAUUGAUGUAGAUGAGGGAGUGGUGACAUCAUUUGAAGUUGAUGUCGAUACAGUUGAGGGAUUGGUGGCAUCACUUGAAGAGACUGCUGAUGUUGAUAUAGUAGCGGUGGCAUCACUUGAAGAGACUGUUGAUGUCGAGGGAGAGAUGGCAUCACUUGAACUGAAUGGUGAUGUAGUAGUGGUGGCAUCACUUGUAGUGACUAUUGAUGUAGAUGAGGGAGUGGUGGCAUUAUUUGAAGUGAAUAUUGAUGUCGAGGGAGAGGUGGCAUCACUUGAACUGAAUGCUGAUAUAGUAGCGGUGGCACCACUUGAAGUGAAUGUUGAAGGAACAGUGAUAUCGCUUGAAGUGACUGCUGAUGUUGAUGUAGUAGUGGUGGCAUCACUUGAAGUGACUAUUGAUGUAGAUGAGGGUGUGGUGGCAUCACUUGAAGUGGCUUUUGAGGGAGUGGUGGAAUCGCUUGAAAUGACUGUUAAUGUCGGUGUAGUAGUGGUGGCAUCAUUUGAAGUUGAUGUCGUUGCAGUAGAGGGAUUGGUGGCAUCACUUGAAGUGAAUAUUGAUGUCGAGGGAGAGGUGCCAUUACUUGAAGUGAAUAUUGAUGUUGAGGGAGUGGUGGCAUCACUUGAAGUGAAUGCUGAUGUUGAUGUGGUAUCGGUGGCACCACUUGAAGUGAAUGUUGAGGGUGUAGUGGCAUCACUUGAAGCGACUGUCGAUGUAGUUGAGAGAAUGUUGGCCAAUGUUGAAGUUACUGUCAGUGUAGUUGUGGUUAUAUCACUUGAAGUUAAAGUCGAUGUUAUUGAGGAAGAGGUGGCAUCACUUGAAGUGACUGGCGAUUUUCUUGAGGGAGUGGUGGCAUCACUUGAAGUGAAUGUUGAAGGAACAGUUUUAUUGCUUGAAGUGACUGCUGAUGUUGAUGUAGUAGUGGUGGCAUCACUUGAAGUGACUAUUGAUGUAGAUGAGGGAGUGGUGGCAUCACUUGAAGUGGCUUUUGAGGGAGUGGUGGAAUCGCUUGAAAUGACUGUUAAUGUCGGUGUAGUAGUGGUGGCAUCACUUGAAGUGAAUGCUGAUGUUGAUGUGGUAUCGGUGGCAUCACUUGAAGUGACUAUUGAUGUAGAUGAGGGAGUGGUGGCAUCAUUUGAAGUUGAUGUCGAUACAGUUGAGGGAUUGGUGGCAUCACUUGAAGAGACUGCUGAUGUUGAUAUAGUAGCGGUGGCAUCACUUGAAGAGACUGUUGAUGUCGAGGGAGAGGUGGCAUCACUUGAACUGAAUGCUGAUGUAGUAGUGGUGGCAUCACUUGAAGUGACUAUUGAUGUAGAUGAGGGAGUGGUGGCAUCAUUUGAAGUUGAUGUCGAUGCAGUUGAGGGAUUGGUGGCGUCACUUGGAGUGACUGUUGAAGCAGUGGUUACAUCACUUGAAGAGACUACUGAAAUUGAUGUUGUAGCGGUGGCAUGA
ensembl:lncRNA